rnacentral:rRNA from 1 species
CCUACGGGAUGCAGCAGUGGGGAAUAUUGGGCAAUGGACGCAAGUCUGACCCAGCAACGCCGCGUGAAGGAAGAAGGCUUUCGGGUUGUAAACUUCUUUUAAGGGGGAAGAGGAGAAGACGGUACCCCUUGAAUAAGCCACGGCUAACUACGUGCCAGCAGCCGCGGUAAUACGUAGGUGGCAAGCGUUGUCCGGAUUUACUGGGUGUAAAGGGCGUGCAGCCGGGCCGACAAGUCAGAUGUGAAAUACGCGGGCUUAACCCGCGAACUGCAUUUGAAACUAUAGGUCUUGAGUGCCGGAGAGGUAAUCGGAAUUCCUUGUGUAGCGGUGAAAUGCGUAGAUAUAAGGAAGAACACCAGUGGCGAAGGCGGAUUACUGGACGGUAACUGACGGUGAGGCGCGAAAGCGUGGGGAGCAAACAGGAUUAGAUACCCGGGUAGUC